UACAGAGGUCUCAAGCGUUGUUCGGAUUCAUUGGGCGUAAAGGGUGUGUAGGUGGCGCCGUUAGUCGGGUGUGAAAUUUCGGAGCUUAACUCCGAAACUGCAUUCGAUACUGCGGUGCUUGAGGACUGGAGAGGAGACUGGAAUUCAUGGUGUAGCAGUGAAAUGCGUAGAGAUCAUGAGGAAGACCAGUGGCGAAGGCGGGUCUCUGGACAGUUCCUGACACUGAGGCACGAAGGCCAGGGGAGCAAACGGGG
rnacentral:rRNA from 1 species